CAUGCUUCCAGUUUUCUCAGAAUAUUAUAAAUUCUCAAGGUCAACUUUUUUUUUCUUUUUGAGACAGGGUUUCACUCUUGUUGCAGUGAGCCGAGAUCAUGCCACUGGACUCCAGCCUGACAGAGUGAGACUCCAUCUCAAACACACACACACACACACACACACACCACACACACACACACAGGUUCCUCACCAUAAGCUUUGGGGAAAAUUCUUGGCUUUUUUGCUGGGGGAGAGAGCAGUGCCCAGGGAAGAUUGGCUGAUCUCAGAGCUGGAGGGUUUAUGCGGGACUGGCCAGCCCCUUCAGCUGAGUGGGACAGCAACACAGUGGGUGGUAAGGGGCUUCAUAAGAUGUACAAGAUGAGGGAGAGGCCCCUCCAGCCAACCCUGUGUCUAAAGAGUCAGGUAACGAAGAACUUUCCAGAGACAGCUGUGAGUCCGUCUGGCUUAAGGGGUUGUACAGGUGUCUGAGAAUGGGGCCUGAAGGUGCAGGGCCUGCAGGCUGCCCUGUUUGGAAGGUUCCUGUCCUUCUGUCUUGGUAGAAAAUGGCAGCUAGCCUUGUAAAGGGCCUCCUUGUGUAGCGAGAUAGACCAUGUAGCCCCAGAUGCCCCCAUGGCUUCACUUCCCUCUUGGGGGUCUCUCAGUAUAUGUCUAGUGCCACCACUAUUGGUGGAGAG
rnacentral:lncRNA from 10 species